CUAUCCUGAUAGUUCUUCCACACACAAUACGUAUACUUGGUGUGUGAAAUAGAGGGUGCAAGAGAGUGCUAGAAGGGCCUGGUUUUAUAGCUCAAGAACGCAAAGGAGUUAGAUUUUUGUUAAAUUCACAGUUGUGUUCAAGUCAUCUACUCCUCAAUAUAAGUUCAAUCUAAGGAUACAAGAGAUCAAUCAAGUUUCACUUAAUAGCUAACGGUGAUCAUAAGGUGAGACAAGUGGAGCCCGAAAAGAUCCAGGGAAGGGUAUAGCUUAGCACUAGCGGUGUUGCUCGUUGGAUGUGUAACGAGUAUCUCUUAUGCCUUUCUUUGAAACUAGUUACGCCCUUUUUGUGCAACUAAUAAAGUUGCAAGUUUAAACCAGUUGAUAACAAGCUUUUUGAACAGAUUUCAUCAAGUAUGUAAGGUCAGUUGUAAGUAAGUAGAAAUGUAGUUUUGUAUCA